AGCGAACGCUGGCGGCAGGCCUAACACAUGCAAGUCGAACGAACCCUUCGGGGUUAGUGGCGGACGGGUGAGUAACACGUGGGAACGUGCCUUUAGGUUCGGAAUAACUCAGGGAAACUUGUGCUAAUACCGAAUGUGCCCUUCGGGGGGAAGAUUUAUCGCCUUUAGAGCGGCCCGCGUCUGAUUAGCUAGUUGGUGAGGUAAUGGCUCACCAAGGCUACGAUCAGUAGCUGGUCUGAGAGGAUGACCAGCCACAUUGGGACUGAGACACGGCCCAAACUCCUACGGGAGGCAGCAGUGGGGAAUCUUGCGCAAUGGGCGAAAGCCUGACGCAGCCAUGCCGCGUGGAUGAUGAAGGUCUUAGGAUUGUAAAAUCCUUUCACCGGUGAAGAUAAUGACUGUAGCCGGAGAAGAAGCCCCGGCUAACUACGUGCCAGCCGCCGCCGUAAAAC
rnacentral:rRNA from 1 species